UACGUAGGGCGCAAGCGUUGUCCGGAAUUAUUGGGCGUAAAGAGCUCGUAGGCGGCUUGUCACGUCGAUUGUGAAAGCCCGAGGCUUAACCUCGGGUCUGCAGUCGAUACGGGCUAGCUAGAGUGUGGUAGGGGAGAUCGGAAUUCCUGGUGUAGCGGUGAAAUGCGCAGAUAUCAGGAGGAACACCGGCGGCGAAGGCGGAUCUCUGGGCCAUUACUGACGCUGAGGAGCGAAAGCGUGGGGAGCGAACAGG
rnacentral:rRNA from 1 species